rnacentral:rRNA from 1 species
AUAGAGACUCAGAGCUGCAUAUCAAUAAGCGGAGGAAAAGAAACUAACAAGGAUUCCCUUAGUAACGGCGAGUGAAGCGGGAAGAGCUCAAAUUUGAAAUCUUCAAGGUUCUACCUUGACGAAUUGUAGUUUAAAGAAGUGUUUUCUGUUAGUAGAGGUGGUCAAAAGUUCUUUGGAAUAGGACAUCAUAGAGGGUGAGAAUCCCGUAUUUGACCAUUUCUUUCUAGCUUUGUGAUACACUUUCAAAGAGUCGGAUUGUUUGGGAAUGCAGUCCAAAAUGGGUGGUAAAUUUCAUCUAAAGCUAAAUAUUGGCGAGAGACCGAUAGCGAACAAGUACCGUGAGGGAAAGAUGAAAAGAACUUUGAAAAGAGAGUUAAACAGUACGUGAAAUUGUCAAAAGGGAAGCGUUUGACACCAGUGUUGUUUAGUUGAAAAUCAAUUCAAUAGUUUUUGAUUCUAAGUAGUAUUGACUUCAUCAGCUUGCUGCUUUCUUCUCAGAAAUUAUUGAAUGCACUUUUCAGUUAACAAGUCAACAUCAAUUUCUUUUGUUGUAAAAGGGUAAGAGGAAGGUGGCUUGCGCUUCGGCUCAAGUGUUUAUAGCCUUUUAUCUCUGCAAUCGGAGAGAUUGAGGUCUGCAGCGUAGAUCCUUCGGGGUUAGAUACAUUGGUGCUAAGCUAUAGCCUUGUAUAGACAACUUGUUGACUAUGCUCAGUCAUGUAGCUUACUCGCUGAUGCUAUUUUACCUACGCUUAGGGAUGUUGACGAGACUGUCGAUCUC